rnacentral:rRNA from 1 species
CCCCGGUAAACGGCGGCCGUAACUAUAACGGUCCUAAGGUAGCGAAAUUCCUUGUCGGGUAAGUUCCGACCUGCACGAAUGGCGUAAUGAUGGCCAGGCUGUCUCCACCCGAGACUCAGUGAAAUUGAACUCGCUGUGAAGAUGCAGUGUACCCGCGGCAAGACGGAAAGACCCCGUGAACCUUUACUAUAGCUUGACACUGAACAUUGAGCCUUGAUGUGUAGGAUAGGUGGGAGGCUUUGAAGUGUGGACGCCAGUCUGCAUGGAGCCGACCUUGAAAUACCACCCUUUAAUGUUUGAUGUUCUAACGUGGACCCGUAAUCCGGGUUGCGGACAGUGUCUGGUGGGUAGUUUGACUGGGGCGGUCUCCUCCUAAAGAGUAACGGAGGAGCACGAAGGUUGGCUAAUCCUGGUCGGACAUCAGGAGGUUAGUGCAAUGGCAUAAGCCAGCUUGACUGCGAGCGUGACGGCGCGAGCAGGUGCGAAAGCAGGUCAUAGUGAUCCGGUGGUUCUGAAUGGAAGGGCCAUCGCUCAACGGAUAAAAGGUACUCCGGGGAUAACAGGCUGAUACCGCCCAAGAGUUCAUAUCGACGGCGGUGUUUGGCACCUCGAUGUCGGCUCAUCACAUCCUGGGGCUGAAGUAGGUCCCAAGGGUAUGGCUGUUCGCCAUUUAAAGUGGUACGCGAGCUGGGUUUAGAACGUCGUGAGACAGUUCGGUCCCUAUCUGCCGUGGGCGCUGGAGAACUGAGGGGGGCUGCUCCUAGUACGAGAGGACCGGAGUGGACGCAUCACUGGUGUUCGGGUUGUCAUGCCAAUGGCACUGCCCGGUAGCUAAAUGCGGAAGAGAUAAGUGCUGAAAGCAUCUAAGCACGAAACUUGCCCCGAGAUGAGUUCUCCCUGAGACUUAGAGUCUCCUGAAGGAACGUUGAAGACGACGACGUUGAUAGGCCGGGUGUGUAAGCGCAGCGAUGCGUUGAGCUA